GACGAACGCUGGCGGCGUGCUUAACACAUGCAAGUCGAACGGAAAGGCCUCUUUCGGGGGGUACUCGAGUGGCGAACGGGUGAGUAACACGUGAGUAACCUGCCCUUGACUUUGGGAUAACUUCAGGAAACUGGGGCUAAUACCGGAUAGGAGCUCCUGCUGCAUGGUGGGGGUUGGAAAGUUUCGGCGGUUGGGGAUGGACUCGCGGCUUAUCAGCUUGUUGGUGGGGUAGUGGCUUACCAAGGCUUUGACGGGUAGCCGGCCUGAGAGGGUGACCGGCCACAUUGGGACUGAGAUACGGCCCAGACUCCUACGGGAGGCAGCAGUGGGGAAUAUUGCACAAUGGGUGGAAGCCUGAUGCAGCAACGCCGUGUGCGUGAAGACGGCCUUCGGGUUGUAAACCGCUUUCGCUCAUGACGAAGCUUUGUGUGACGGUAGUGGGUAAAGAAGCACCGGCUAACUACGUG
rnacentral:rRNA from 1 species